GCUUUAUUCAUUAACCAAUAAAAGCAACAUGUGUUCAGAAGGACUUCCCACACUAGCCUGGAAUUCAGUGUCCCUAAAGGAAGUAGGCUCAGAAUUGGAUCCUAAGGGCACAAAGGUGGAGGCCUGGCCCUGAUUGCACAUUUCUCAAGAUCUCUUUCUCUUGCUCUCCUUUGUCUGGCUGCCUCUUACUUUCCAGGCACUCUGCCCACUUCUAGCAGAUAUGUGCAUGCAGCCUGGAGUGCUGGUCAUGCCUAUUUUAUCUUGGAAAGGUCUAUCCCCACCCUGGCAGUAGGUUAGAAAAAUGAUACAUUAAAGAGUUUUGACUGUGUUUUCAUUUUUUUUUUGUGAAUAAGCACUGAUGGGUGUCAUCAGAGUGUGUCCAAAUCAAUGCAUUAUCUGAAGUAACUCAACUAGAGCAAACCAAAACAACAAAACAUCUUCAGAGCUGAGCCAAUCUUUUGUUCCCUUCAAGCCUCAGUGGAGCCUGAGAAUAAAGCCUGAAAGGCUGAUCCCUGAAGCAGAAGUGGCCCUCAGCUCAAAACUACCCUGCCCCCUGCCUUGUACACCAGCAGUCCCUUGCUGCUCUGGUCCCCAGGAUAACUCAGAAACACUCCAUGCCUCCCUGUGACCCCUGCUCCUUCAGUGCCUUUGUUCAGAGGGCCCUUUCCUUCUCCUUCACCUCUCACAUGCAUACGAAAAUACUGGCUCAUGCUUCAAAGCUGAAGAAUCAUUCCAUUAUUUAUUUUUUUGCAACAAGUUUUAAUUAGAAGUUCAGGAGCAUAAUUCAGUGGCCAAUUUGGUUAGUGGAAACAGCAAAGAUGAACAAGACAUAGUUUCUGUUCUUAAACAAUAUUCAGUCUAAGGCCAGACAAAUGGUUUAGUGAGUAAAAGCUCUUAACCCACGAGCAAGACCACCUCAGUCAAAACCCAGAGUCCAUAAUAAAAUGAAUAACUAAGAAGGAUGUGGUGGCAGGCAUCUGUAAUCCCAGUGUUCCCACAGUGAGAUAGAGGGGAGACAGGAGAAAAGAACACCUCCAGGCUUGGAGGACAGAGUGAUCUAAAGGAAGAGACAUCCUGUCUCUACAUGAGAGGUUGAGAGAAUAAACUCCUCACAGCCGUCUUCUGAUCUGUCAGGACACAAUCAUAUACACACCCGUGCUCACAUAUACACAUAUUAUAAAAAAUCAAUAGUUUGGUUAUGUGCAGUAAGAUGCACUGAUAGCCAGAGAUGCAGUGCAAGAAUUCUAGUGAGCUCACAGUGCUGAGCAUAGACCUCCAUCUUGAACUCCUUGAGAAUAUCACAAUAGGUCACACAGGCUUUCUGGGGUAGUUGGCCCCUGACAUAGCCUGAGAUGUGAAGGAGAAGACAGGAAUUCUAGGAGAUAGCAACCAUUUCACCUAAUAUCAUUAUUCCCAGUUUAGAGAUGAGCAAACACUGAGUGAGUGUCUCCAAAUGCUGAGUUAACAAGCAGCAAAGCUGUUUCCUAUCCCAAUACAUAGCAGCCUAAGGCAGUCUCUAACUCAUUAACUCAGCCUGGCUUUAAUUUACCCUGGGAAUCCAGGCACAAAGGAUCCAGGGGGAUGACCUUUUUGUUUUUUGUCUUGAGACAGAUGUCACUAUACAUUUCAAGGUAGCUUUCGACUCCUGAUCUUCCUAAUCCUCCUGCCUCCGCAUCCAAUCUACUGGGAAUGCAGUUAUAUGUCACUAUGCUCAGUCCUACUGUGAAGACAAAAGAACCAGAAGAAACAGAGCAGAACAGGUAUGGGCUGUUCUACACAGGGCCGCACCCUCAGCACAGAGAAGGUUUGUGGUGGAAGCUGGUUAGUGUGGGAUUGGGAAACACUCUGACAGGACAAAUUUUACCUUAAAGCAGGGGUGCCAUGGUGUUCAGGGAGAGCAUGUGUGUGACAGGAAAUGAGCAUCGAUGAUUUGAAAGAGGAACAAACUGAAGGUGACUUCUGAACCGUUUGGUCAGUAGUGGAGUGGUUUUUUUUUAAAAAAAAAAAAACAUAAUGUGGGUCUUCUAUACAAUGGUGACAACUUGAUUUACAUAUUAUAGGACUGUGAUAAAGGUCAAAUUAUGUAAUAACAAGUGAGAGAGUGCCAAAUCCAUUUCCUGGUACACACAUUAGCUGAUUUCUCAUGAACUUUUCCUGUGUCUUGCAAAGAUUUUCUACCCUGCUAAUGAGGUGGAUCUGGGCCCAUUCAUUUCUCCUGCCACAGAUCAGGCAAGAGUCUGAGACCCUUCUCCAUACGUCAGGAGAGAUUCUGGUCACAACCUUGUCAUGGAGUGGCUUGGGACAGAUCCCCAGGGCACUGGGCAGAGCUUGUUAGAGACAAAACAGAAGAAAUGGGGUUCAUCCUUAGCAAUGGACCAAGUGAGCAAGGAUCCACCCAUCCUCCGAAGAAAAGAACAGUUAAUUGUAUCAUUAAUAAUACUUAGCAUAGUCUCAGUGCUUUCUCAAGCUAAUUAAUUCUGCUCCAAACCCUGUAAAACAAAUGACUGGGUGUGUCAGAGAAGAGCUCUAUUUCUGAAUUAGGGAUGUGAAGAAGCUCAGUCUUCACAGUGUCUGAUGGAGAGAAAAGCUGUAUCACUGCUUCCCAGAGCCAAGUUACACUGGACAAAAAGAGGCCAUUAAGCCCUGGUAGGUAUUCAGCCCUUCACCAAGUCUGUCUUCAAAUAAGUACAAUUACCCAAGGAAAUAACAACACAAGAAAUCCCAUUUUGUCAUUUUUAUUCUAACAAAGUCCCAAGAGACAGUACCAAGAAGUCAUAUUUUCUUUUCAGCUGGUAUGAUGUUUGAAAUUGGUUUUAUUCUGGAACUUAGUGUUAAGCCCUUGGGCCACGACAUGACUCACAGUUAGCUGCUCAACUCCACAGCCCUUUACUCCGCAUGUUUUGCCAACAAAAAUCUGAGGAUGCUAAGGAAACACACUUUCUUUACUUACAUAUCAGCAGACUUUCAACUAUGAGAGACUAGAAGAGACAGAUCAAGUACAAAAUAAGGGUAAAACCUCCGAGCACAAAAACAAAACAAAACAAAAUCACAUGCAUAAACCUCGUUCCUGGAAAAACCGUAUUAAACUGUUUGGAAAGAUGGUGAGACGGAGCAGCGUUGCUGGGAGCCUGGAACUUCAUCUUCCAGGCAUGAUGUGACCACUGCUGCUUGAAAUCACAGCAGAGCUUGAAGUCUACUCUCCAAGCAUGAGAUGAUCAGGCCUAUAACAUAAUACUGAAUGACAGGAGUCAUCUGCCCCUCAGCGGAGAGUCCAGUCACCAGUCUCCUGCUCCCUGAGCAUGCGCAGUGCUAGAGUUAGAGACGAUGGGAGGUGGAGCUGGAACUCUAGUGAAAGUGCACCUUAGAUUUCAAAAGCUCAGCCUGAGACAGUCACUGAUUUGCUUACGUUGGUUCAACACAAUCAACUGAAGCUCCAGGACCAAGCUCCUGGGUACUUGUCUCCAGCCCUGUGUCACACAGCUCAACAAUGCUAGACUUACAGGUCCCGCUGCUUCCUGUUUGCUGACCGUUCUAGCUCGGAAAGGCAGGUGUGAUUUCUGCUACUUCAGAAGCUCAGUCAGAUUUUGUCCUGUGCCCAGGCUAACGCAGGUGGGCAGCAGUAAACGAGG